CCUACGGGUGGCAGCAGUGGGGGAUAUUGCACAAUGGGGGAAACCCUGAUGCAGCGACGCCGCGUGUGGGAAGACGGUCCUCUGGAUUGUAAACCACUGUCCCCAGGGACGAAGAUGACGGUACCUGGGGAGGAAGCGCCGGCUAACUACGUGCCAGCAGCCGCGGUAAUACGGAGGGAGCGAGCGGUGUCCGGAAUGACUGGGUGUCAAGGGAGGGUAGGAGGGGAUGCAAGGUGGGUGUCCAAACUACCGGCGCAACUGGGAGUCGCACUCAAAACUGCAGCUCUUGAGUGAAGUAGAGGCCGGCGGCCUUCCUUGUGUAGCGGUUAAAUGCGUCGAUAUUCGGAG
rnacentral:rRNA from 1 species